GGCCGGCCAUGUGGACAUUGAG
rnacentral:siRNA from 1 species